UUGUAAACGAAUAAAUGUUAAAUAUCCACUCAAUCAAAGUACUUUGUUAUUGUGCCGUCGGAAUUAAAAACUCAGAUGAAAUUAUUGUAUAUUGUAUAACCAAACUAGCCAAUAACCAUUGUACUAAUUACGUUCCAAUAUAACCAAACUAUUGUAAUAUAUUGCGCUAGUCUAAGAAAAUUAAAAUUCUCUAAACUAGGUAAUAUAUUUAACCAGCAAAGAAUUUUAAAAUAGCAAUAGACACCUUUUCUAAUCAUCUAAAUUAUUCUUCUGAUAUAUUAUGAAAAUAAUUAUAAAUAAAUCUGUACAUAGAAUUUUAUUGUUUUCACAAAAAUCCACAAUCAACAUAUUUUGUUUUCAACAAAUGCACGAUAUAAAAUUAUAUCUUAAACAUGUAAAUCAAAACAACCGACUCUACUUAUACUAAACUGGAAAUUUUCCGUGAGUGUACUCUAACAAUACAACUAAUUUAUCGGUCUAAAAAGAUUGAUGAGUUAUUUCCUCAACCGUUGACCGUUACUAACAUUGCUAUGAUGUUUUGCUUGCAUCCGUUUUAGCUGAUGAUUGUUUAGUAGUUUUUGGUUUUAAUUUUUAGUUUUUGGAUUUUAGUUUUUAGAUUUUGGUUUUUGAUUUUCAGUUUUUGUUUUUAAUUUUUCAGCUUUUAGUUUUAGUUUUCAAAAGAAUAAUUAUAUAUUACUUUAAAAUAAUACAUCAAAAUAUCAAUUAAAUAUUUAGAAGUUACCAUAAAAAUUUAUCAAAAUAUUAUGAUUUUAUUUAAAAAUAAAAUACAGUAACAUGUUUCUAGUUAUUAUAUUUUUAUAAAAAAUAUAUAUUAUAAUAAAAUGUAAAUCAUAAAAUAAAUAUAAGUUGAAAAAUUAAAAUAUUUUAUAAUAAUAAACUAUUUAGAAAUUUUCGUAUAUAAAUUAUAUUUUAUUUCAAAACUUGAAUGACAAUUGUUUUAUGAUAUAAAUGAUUAGUUUUAUGUGUAAUCUUGAGUUGACUUGUUUUGUUUAUGUUUCCAUUUUCAUGUAGUAUCUGCCAAUAUGUAAGAAACUAUAUGUAGAUUAGAAGAGGAAGAGUUUUAUAGAAAACGAAAUUCAACAUAAAACCAAUUUGAUUCGAACAUGGCGUUUUCAAUCUUACUAACCUGGAAGUUACGUUCAUUUGCCAACUUUGUAAUGAAGCUCCGUUUAUCUGUCCACAUCAAAUUUCUGUUUUCUCAAUUCGUUGAAUUUUUUUUUUUGAUUUUUUUUGUUGUGCCACCGUUUGACCGUAGACUAUGUUUAUAUGGAUCUACAGUUGUUGAUUCGACACUGUAGAUACACGACCAUUAGAAGUUUUCAUCACACUUUAGAAAGAGCCAGAAAACCGUUUCAAAGAAUUUGAGAAUUUAUAAUUUUGAAAACAAAUAGAAAUGAUUUAAAGUUUAUGGCAUCAUGAGUU